AUCACUUAAGUUGAGUUGAGUGGUCAAUAAACAGAUGAGACAGAUAUUAACAUAGGGCGAAUCCUAGUCUGUGGUUAUUGUUGUUGUAAAGUAUUUCUGUGUCGCAUGUUCUUAUCAAAAUGACCAGUAAAACAAGUCUUUGUGGUCAACAAUUUGAUUCCUCCUAAUUGUCACAGAUUUGAAUGUGUUGCAUUCAUUGCAUGAGUUGAAAUCCAAGUUUAACCCACUGACCAGAUGACUUUGGUUAAAAUCAGAGGCUGGAUCAUUUCUCACUAAACCCAAUGUGUUUCUGCAUUGUAGGGAUCGGAGGAGCCUCAGUCACCAAAGGACAGGGAGCUGAAGCAGACUGUGACCCAUCGGUACCAAACGGACAAUGGGUGAAAAUACCCCGACCAGGACUGAAAGCAGGAGCUGAAGCAGCCGCUGGCACAAUGACUAAAGGAUAUGGGGCCAGUGCUGGGGGAUAUGCAAAUGGAGGAGCAGCUAUAGCAAACACACCCGGUAAGGAGCCUCAUGCUGUGUAAGCGUAAAGGGUUGUUGAUACUGGGAUCUGGUUUUGAUUUACACUCUAAUGACUAAUGAUCUGUUUGCGUGACUUGACUUGCUGAUAACAGUGACUCACAUUUAACAAUAACACUGUGGGUCAAGGCCCUGAGAUAUGUAUGGAACCAUUACAGUGGAAGUGAGAUUUCUUGUAAUGAUGUGGUGAAUAUUUAUGUAGGUUUGUGUUCUUCUGCGUGUUUGGUUGCAUUCAGUGUAUCUGAGGGUUUUGUUUCUUCCAAAGCUAGCGCAGCAGCAGGCUUCGCUCUCCCUGGACUCUUUCCUGGAUAUGGACCUGGUAACAUUUCCUGUUCAUACAAACAAGCAUGAGCUGUGUGCAUUUCUUAUUUUACCCUAUGGAUUUAUGUCCUCAGGUCUUGGCUAUCCAUAUGCAGGAAAACCAAAGCAGCCUGGUUAGUGUGUGUUUUGUUUUUUUCUUAUUUUGCUGAAAUACGUUACGUUUGGCUUCAGAUCUUUGUGUUGCAUGCAGGUUACGGACACGGCGCGUACCUCGGGGCUGGAUAUGAAAAUGGAAAUUCCCAUAAAGGUCAGUGCCACAGCGGCUUCAUGUAAGGACUUAAUGAGCAUUUACAUGUCACCAUUGUUGCAGUGAGGUGGUUCCUUCUUUCAUGCAGGUUAUGGAAAUGGCUUCAGAGCAGGUGUGCAGCCGGAUUAUGCAAGUAAGUAACGGGAUUUGAAAUGUAUUCUAUUGUUUUAAUUACAGCAACAGCCAAUACUUGUCUUUUUUCCAGGCCUUGGACAAGCUACACCCAGUGUUGAUGCAAAAUCAGGUAUGAAACAUGCAGCUGUGCUACUGAUCCUCUUAUUUCUACCUUUAAAGCAAAGUAAAACAGACCAAC
rnacentral:lncRNA from 1 species